GUUUUGAAGCGAGGCCUGCUGCUGGUGCGGAAACGCGCAUGUGCACGGCUUCAUGCUCAAUCCACUCAACCUCUGUGCACCUUUGCAAAGUGAGUAGGCUGCACUCUUCGAGGGGGGGGACUUGUAGUGAGUAAGGCGAGCGUGCGCAAGCACCAGUAGUCUGAAAGCGAACGUUUAACAUUUGAGAGUGCGGUUGAAGGCUUUGAUGUUUAUCAACCUUUGUAUGUCGUGUACAUGUGUUGCUCCUCGUGGGCGAAAUGAAUACAACUUUCAACGACGGAUCUCUUGGCUCUCGCAUCGAUGAAGAACGCAGCGAAAUGCGAUAAGUAAUGUGAAUUGCAGAAUUCAGUGAAUCAUCGAAUCUUUGAACGCACCUUGCGCCCUUUGGCAUUCCGAAGGGCAUGCCUGUUUGAGUGUCACGUUAAUCUCAAACUCUGAGCCUUUUGUUAGGUUUGGUCGUUUGGACUUGGAGGCCUUGCUGGUGAGCGUCGUUGUGAUGCACGUCGGCUCCUCUGAAAGGCAUCAGCUGGACUUUGGUUAGCAUGGACGAUGUAAUAGUAAAGUGUUCGUCGGAAGUGCUUUCCUAACGGGUCCGCUUCUAGUCGUCUUCGGACAAGGCCCUUUGGGACCUUUAUUUGACCGGUUGACCUCAAAUCAGGUAGGACUACCCGCUGAACUUAAGCAUAUCAAUA
rnacentral:rRNA from 1 species